GCCACAGUAUUUAUUAGGCGGCGCUUCGCUCCCCUCCGCCUUCUCUUCCCGGUUCUUCCCGGAGUCGGGAAAAGCUGGGUUGAGAGGGCGAAAAAGGAUGAGGUAACUGGU
rnacentral:pre_miRNA from 2 species